rnacentral:misc_RNA from 1 species
GUGAAUCAUCGAAUUUUUGAACGCAAAUUGCACUCUCCUCGGAUAGUAUGCCUAUUUGAGGGUCAGCCUAUAAAAAAUCGACAUCGUUGCUGUUUCGCGGUGGCGUUCGUCGGAAAUUGGGUCAUCUUAAGUCCUUUUGAUUUAAGCGACUUAAAAUUUUCUUUUGUUUCCAUGAACGUUUCUAAGAUCUAUUUCUUUACACGUUUAAGGGAUCGAGGUUUACUAGAAGUGACUAUCAUAUUGGAUCGCGUCCAUAAUCGUUCAUGAAA